AUUGAACGCUGGCGGCAGGCCUAACACAUGCAAGUCGAGCGAGCGGCGGACGGGUGAGUAAUGUCUGGGAAACUGCCUGAUGGAGGGGGAGAACUACUGGAAACGGUAGCUAAUACCGCAUACCAUCAGAUGUGCCCAGAUGGGAUUAGCGGGUGGGGGGGUGAACGGCUCACCUAGGCGACAAUCCCUAGCUGGUCUGAGAGGAUGACCAGCCACACUGGAACUGAGACACGGUCCAGACUCCUACGGGCGGCAGCAGUGGGGAAUAUUGCACAAUGGGCGCAAGCCUGAUGCAGCCAUGCCGCGUGUGUGAAGAAGGCCUUCGGGUUGUAAAGCACUUUCAGCGGGGAGGCGUUACCCGCAGAAGAAGCACCGGCUAACUCCGUGCCAGCAGCCGCGGUAAUUC
rnacentral:rRNA from 1 species